rnacentral:lncRNA from 1 species
AAGCGUUCGAGGGCGACUCCAGUGGCGACCCGGGCUCCUAGCGUGCGCGCCAAGGCCAAGCUUGGGGACAUGUCCUCUUUGGAAAGCGCCAAGCUCCGUGCUGCUGACAAAAAUAUGGACGUGACAGGUAAUCCUACCCCCUCUUUCAAGAUCUUGAAUGCCUUCUCUGACGCUCAUCUUGCUGAGAUUCUUCACGAUAGUGGCGUAGCGCUAGAUUCCUCGCCUUUGGAUAUCAUUUCCUUAGUUCGCGCGCGUGAAGAUGCUCAGGCCGCUCUCGCGGCUGCUGCCGCCCGCUCUGCGGCUGAGCAGUCCAUGGACGGCCAGGUCGCAGUACCAGUAGGGGCUGGUGCAGACGCUUUGCCCACCGAGGGAGACGAGGCCGGGGUGGCCUCGGACAUGCCUUCUUCCAAUCGUGCGCCGGCAAGGAAGCGUGUGGCCAAGGCGGUGAGCUCCCGUGGAGUUCGCCUGCGCAAUCGGGUUAUUUGAUGCGGUACAUUUUCUGGAAUAUACGCGGAUGCAGCCAUGGGGGGCGGCGUACGCAGCUCAGAGAGUAUAUGUCCAAAGAACACAUAGACUUUGUAGCGCUCCAAGAGACUAUUAAGGUUGAUUUCACGUUUAGAGAUCUCUUGGCGUAUGAUCCUCUCCAGCGUUUCGAUUGGUUCUGGACCCCUUCCUUGGGUCUUUCUGGAGGCCAACUGAUGGGCUGUAAUAAAGAUAUUUGCGAUGUAAUUUCAUGGGAGCCUGGUACGUUUUAUAUUGCAGCUAUCGUUCGUCACCGGGUAUCCCAGGCUACUUGGGUGAUUGUAAGUGUAUACAGGCCGGCGGACCACGCGAGGUCUGCUGAUUUCUUGGGGGAAAUCACAACCCUGGUCGGGGCCAAACGAGCGGCCAACCUGCCUGUUGUUGUGGGCGGGGACUUUAACUUGAUCCGCUCGGGGGCGGACAAGAACAAUGGCAACAUAGACUGGGCUAGGGUGUCCCUUUUUAACAAUGCAAUUGCGGCCACUGCUCUAGGGAAAUUGCGCGUACAGGUGCAAGAUAUACUUGGACUAACAAACAGCGGGCUCCAGUUCGCUGUGUUCUCGACCGAGUUUUCUGUUCAAGUGAUUGGGAGGCCCUGUUCCCCCUUUGUACCUUAGUGGCCGAGACGCGCAUAGGUUCAGAUCAUGUCCCUCUUAUUCUGUCGUCAGGGGAGGACAGUAUGCGCCGCAGUCGUAGAUUUUUCUUCGAGACGGCGUGGUUCGAACACGAGGGUUUCUGCCAAUUGGUCACAAACUGUUGGACCUUGAUUGGUAACCAGGUGGGGUGCCAACGAGGACCAGUAGAGUUCUGGUCCUCUGCGGCUGCAGCCUUGUGGGCUUUCCUCAGGGGUUGGGGGGCAACCAUGGUAGCGAGUCCAAAAGGGAAAGGGAAUACAUUAUGGAACAAAUCGCGCAUCUUGACGCGCAGGCCAAUGUUAGACCUUUCUCUGGCGACGAAUGGGAGCACCGCUACUCCCUGGAAAACCAGGUCUUGGCUAUCCUUAGAGCGGAGGAGGAGUACUGGCGUCGUAGGGGCGGCGUCAAGUGGGUCGUGAAAGGUGAAGCCAACACCGGUGAUUUCCACGCGUACGCCAACGGCCGUAUACGCAAGAGUACAAUCCUAAGACUCCAGUCGGAGCACGGGACUCUGGUUUCCCAAUCUGAAAUCGUUAAGCACAUCUUCGAUUUCUUUGUAGAGCUGUUGGGAACAGCCAAAGCGAAAGGUUUAGGUCUUAGGGAAGACUUAUGGGGCCCGGCGGAGUGUGUGUCUCAACAGGAAAAUGACGCCCUAAUGGUGUCCUUUACACCUCAAGAGAUUGACUUAGCACUAGCUGGUAUGAAGAACGACACGGCUCCAGGCCCGGAUGGCUGGCAGGUAGAGUUUUUCAAAAGGUUUUGGCCGCUCCUUAAAGACCUUUUCCAAGCUAUUAUUGACGGCUUUGUCCUUGGUACGGCUGACCUUUCGAGACUCAAUUACGGGGCGAUUUGUCUGAUCCCCAAGGUCAAAGGGGCGGAUUCAAUCAAGUUGUUCCGUCUGAUCACGCUCAUAAACGUCCCUUUCAAGCUAUGCACCAAAGCUUACGCCUCUAUGUUAGCGCUGGUUGCCCAACGAGUAAUCCAUAAGAGCCAAACCGCUUUCCUUAAAGGUAGAAACAUUCUUGAAGGGCCUAUUGCUCUCACGGAGAUAAUCCACGAGUUAAAACGAACACGUGGACAGGGCAUUAUCCUCAAGCUCGAUUUUGAAAAAGCAUACGACCGCGUAAACUUGGAGUUCGUGCGGGAGGUCCUCCUCAAAAAGGGUUUUGAGGCAGGGUUCGUUCACCGGAUCAUGCAUCUGAUCUCGAGUGGCAACACCUCGAUUAUUGUCAAUGGCGAAAUGGGGAAGUUUUUCCGUAAUAGGAAAGGGUUAAGACAGGGCGAUCCCAUCUCCCCACUCGUCCUUAACUUUGUGGCUGACGCAUUGGCAGCUAUGUUGUCCAAGGCCAGGGAGGCCGGUCAUGUUAAGGGACUCGUCCCACACCUCAUCCCGGGUGGUGUCAAUCAUUUAUGCUGACGAUACCUUGCUUCUGUUUAAGCCCGACGACCAUAGUAUCGCAUCGAUUAAGCUUUUGUUUCUUGCCUUUGAGAUCCUAUCCGGACUCAAAAUAAAUUUUCAUAAAAGCGAGGUCAUUACCAUGGGGAUGGAUGAACAUCAAAGCUUUCGAGUCGCAAAUCUACUUAAUUGUAAGCUUGGGAGCUUUCCAAUUAAGUACCCGGGGCUUCCUAUAUCUCACCGCAAACUCUGGAUUUUAGAGUGGGAGCCUCUGUAUGGGAAAGUGGCCAAUAGGGUAAGCUCGUGGCGAGGGCGGUUUAUGACUUCUGCGGCCAGGCUAAUUUUAACUAACUCGAGCCUCUCUUCCCUUCCCCUAUUAAUUAUGGGGAUGUUCUUACUAGCCGAUGGCGUGCACGGUAAGCUAGACACACCGCGAUCCCGGUUCUUUUGGGAAGGAACUGGCAUCAAGCGGAAAUACCACCUGGUAAAGUGGGCGGCUGUUUGUAGGCCAAAAAAAUUUGGAGGAUAGGGAAUCCUAAACUCCAAACUAAUGAACGUCGCCCUCCUGUCCAAAUGGUGGUGCCGACUUGCCCAAAAUGAGACGAGUCUCUCGGCUCAGUUGCUAAAAGCCAAGUAUUUCCCGAAUGGGAAUCCCUUCAGAGCCGCGGCCAACGGCUCCGUGUUUUGGAAAGGGAUCCAAGCGGUCCGGCCCGCAUUUGCUAUUGGGGCCAAAUUUCAGAUUAACAAUGGCCAAUCCACUUGGUUUUGGCUGGACCAUUGGCUGGGCACCUCUCCCCUUUGGCAAAGUCACCCCAACUUAUUUCAGAUCGCCACUAACAUCAACAUCUUAGUGGGGGAGGCAGCUCAUACUGACCCUCCAGCAAUUCACUUUAUGCGGGCCCUUUCCAACGCCGAACGAGAGUCAUGGGACGGCCUAGUUCAUCAAAUUGGUGCCAACCAUCUAGGGACGGGCGAUGAUUCGGUAGAAUGGAGCUUGACAGCUUCCCGGAAAUUCUCGUUUAAGUCCUUAUACAACAAGCUAACUGAAGGGACAUCGCUUGAUAUAGCUAGGGGGUUGUGGAAGGCAUGUCUGCCCCUGAAGAUUAAAAUCUUCAUGUGGCAAAUGUUCAAGAAUAGGCUGCCCACGUCGGAUAAUGUGGCCAAGUGUAACGGUCCGGCUGAUGGUACUUGCACUGUGUGCGGCCUAGGUGAAGAUGCAAACCAUGUCUUUUUUAGAUGCCACCUGGCCAGGUUCGUGUGGAGUGCAGUUAGGGAAGCUGUCCACAUGAACUGGAACCCAGCCUCGGGGAAUGACAUGAUAGCCAUCCUCAAAUCCACGAGAGGGACCAGUAGUAGAAUCGCUUGGUGUUGCGUAGGGGCGCUACUCUGGGCUAUUUGGACGACGCGCAAUAAAAUUACGAUUGAGAAAAAAUUCCCUAACCACCGCGCGGAUGUGAUCUUCAAAUGCCAUCUUUUUUACAGACGUGGACUCCGCUGGGGAAGGAGCGCGAUGCUGAGCGCAUGUCGGAGGCCAUGGCACGCAUCAAGACUAUCCAGGUGAUGGCUAGACAAGACCCGCCGAGUCGAUGAAGCUUUUGGAGUCUUUAAGAGGAUGAUUUAUGUUAGCUAGGUCUUCAGCGUUGGAUGUUAUGGCUAGUUGUAUUGAUGCCUUCGCGUUGAACCUUCUUUUU